rnacentral:tRNA from 1 species
CGGGGCGUGGCGCAGCUUGGUUAGCGCGCCUGCUUUGGGAGCAGGAGGUCGGCGGUUCGAAUCCGCCCGCCCCGACCA